rnacentral:rRNA from 1 species
GAAUAAGAGGUCCAGCCUGCCCUGUGACUAUAUGUUUAACGGCCGCGGUAUUUUAACCGUGCGAAGGUAGCGCAAUCACUUGUCUUUUAAAUGGAGACCUGUAUGAAUGGCAUAACGAGGGCUUAACUGUCUCCUUUUUCAAGUCAAUGAAAUUGAUCUCUCCGUGCAGAAGCGGGGAUAAAUACAUAAGACGAGAAGACCCUAUGGAGCUUUAGACACCAAGGUAUAUCAUGCUAAACACCCCUAUAUAAAGGGCUAAGCCAAAUGAUUAAUGCCCUUAUGUCUUUGGUUGGGGCGACCGCGGGGAAAUAAAAAACCCCCAUGUGGAAUAGGGGCACUGCCCCUACAGCCAAGAGCCGCAGCUCUACUAAACAGAAUUUCUGACCAAUAAGAUCCGGCAAUGCCGAUCAACGGACCGAGUUACCCUAGGGAUAACAGCGCAAUCCCCUUUUAGAGCCCAUAUCGACAAGGGGGUUUACGACCUCGAUGUUGGAUCAGGACAUCCUAAUGGUGCAGCCGCUAUUAAGGGUUCGUUUGUUCAACGAUUAAAGUCCUACGUG